CCCUCGUACCCAACCGCCUCAAGCAUUCCUUCUCUGCCCGCAGCGGCGGCUGUCCUUCCAUCCUCACGCCACCACCAAAUCGUUCCCUCGAGGCAGUUUCAGGAUAUAAUUGGCACUUGACUCAAAUACAAAAUGAGAUUAGAGAAGUGUUGGUUCUGUUCCUCAACCAUCUAUCCAGGGCAUGGUAUUCAGUUUGUCCGCAAUGAUGCAAAGAUCUUCCGGUUUUGCCGCUCCAAAUGCCAUAAGAACUUUAAAAUGAAGAGAAAUCCUCGCAAGGUGAAAUGGACAAAAGCAUACAGGCGAUUGCAUGGGAAGGAUAUGACACAGGAUUCGACCUUUGAGCUUGAGAGGAAGCGCAACAGACCUGAGAGAUAUGAUAGGAAUGUUGCAGAGAACACACUAAAGGCCAUUAAGAAGAUUGACAAAAUCAGAGUGGCUAGAGAGGCCAGACACCAUUCUAUGAGGAUGAAAGGCAAGAAAGCCAUUGAGCAGCAGGCAGCAGCUAAGGAGUUGGAGCAGAGUAUUCAUUUGGUCAAGGCACCUGCUGCCCUCCAAGAGGAUCCAUCCCUUACUCUACCAAAGAUAAGAGUAACGGUUUCUCGGUCACAAACAGAGGACUGCAUGGAAGAAUAAUGAUAACGCAGGCAAUCCUCUCACAUGGUGGCAUAGAAAACUCAAUUCAACACUUUCUUAUGCUAGUUUAUGCAACUAAAUUUUGGAUUAUCAUUGGACUAAGGGUUGCCAGCUUGCUGCCGGAAUUUUGAUGUGGCUGCUGUCAUGAUUUUUGUAAUACUGAUAUGCAAGAGUAGCAGCCACAAUCCAAACCCUUUUCCACCGAGUUUGAAAGAAUCAAUUUCUGAAAUGGCUGUCACUAGUUUCGUUGUCUAAUGACAUGAUGGGUUAGAACAGAUACACAAGUGGUUAUGUUUUGGACAGUGAUAGUAAUUCCCUUGAGUAUGCUUUUUAUCUUGGCAGCUAGACAGGUCUUGAAGUUGUUUUGCACACUAUCUAAAGGACUAGGCUUUCAUUUUUCCAUUUUUUAAUCUUGGUAUAGGUUGAAGCCCUCAGACUUUCCAUGGCAAUGCCUAGAUACUUCUUUAAAAAAAUGUGUUAAAUUAGUUGAACAAAAACAGAAUAGUAGGUAAAAUUUUUCUCCAGUUUUUGGUAGCUCCAACAUGCAGUCUGGGAUUCAAAAUUUUAAAAGCCAGCAGUGUUAUUAGAAGCUGGGUUGUGUUGUGCAUAUGUGAGCAUUGAAUGAAGCCAACUAUUGCUAUGAAGCUUCGAAUGAUGCAGUCUACUUGAAUCUAGUUAAUACACCAUCUUAUUGUUUCUUGUAUCAAUAAAUAUUCUUCAUUGUUUGCCAUCAAUCAAAUGUGGCGGCUUGUACCGCAUGCUACGGCAA